rnacentral:rRNA from 1 species
GACGAACGCUGGCGGCAUGCCUAAUACAUGCAAGUCGAACGCUGAAGCACUCUGCUUGCAGAGUGCGGAUGAGUGGCGAACGGGUGAGUAACACGUGGGAAAUCUGCCUAUAAGAGGGGGAUAACAUUCGGAAACGGAUGCUAAUACCGCAUAUAUUCUUGGACCGCCUGGUCCUUGAAAGAAAGACGGCUUUGCUGUCGCUUAUAGAUGAUCCCGCGGCGUAUUAGUUAGUUGGUGGGGUAAAGGCCUACCAAGACAAUGAUACGUAGCCGACCUGAGAGGGGGAUCGGCCACACUGGGACUGAGACACGGCCCAGACUCCUACGGGAGGCAGCAGUAGGGAAUCUUCCACAAUGGGCGAAAGCCUGAUGGAGCAAUGCCGCGUGAAUGAAGAAGGUCUUCGGAUCGUAAAGUUCUGUUAUUAGGGAAGAACAAGUUAAGGAGUAACUGGCUUGAAUUUGACGGUACCUAACCAGAAAGUCACGGCUAACUACGUG